GACGAACGCUGGCGGCGUGCUUAACACAUGCAAGUCGAACGGAAAGGCCUGCUUUCCCUUGUGGAUUGCGGGUCCUCGAGCGGCGAACGGGUGAGUAACACGUGAGUUAUCUGUCCGCAACUUGGGUAUAAGCCUGGGAUACUGGGUCUAAUCCCCGAAAGGACUGCAGGGUGGAGGCGGUGGUGGAAAACGACUCUCUUGUGGUUGGGGAUGGGCUCGUGGCCUGUGAGCUGGUUGGAGGGGUAACGGCAGACCAAGGCGGGGACGGGGAGCGGGAGUGGGAGGAUGGACAGUGGCAUUGAGACAGGGACACGGCCCAGACGGCUGCGAGAGGCAGCAGUGGGUGGUAUUGCACAAUGGGCGGGAGCCUGAUGCAGCGAGUCCGCGUAGAGGAUGUCGGCGUUCGGGUUGUAAACUGCUUGCGAACGAGAGGAAGCCACCUGGUUGGAAGGGUGGUGACGGUAGUGGUAGAAGAAGCACCGGCUAACUACGUG
rnacentral:rRNA from 1 species